GACAGAGGGUGCAAACGUUGUUCGGAAUUACUGGGCGUAAAGCGUGUGUAGGCGGUCUCAUAAGUCAGGUGUGAAAGCCCUGGGCUCAACCCAGGAAGUGCACUUGAAACUGCGAGGCUAGAGUAUCGGAGAGGUUGGUGGAAUUCUCGGUGUAGAGGUGAAAUUCGUAGAUAUCGAGAGGAACACCGGUGGCGAAGGCGGCCAACUGGACGAAUACUGACGCUGAGACUCGAAAGCGUGGGGAGCAAACAGG
rnacentral:rRNA from 1 species